GGUGGGGUUCCCGAGCGGCCAAAGGGAGCAGACUGUAAAUCUGCCGUCAUCGACUUCGAAGGUUCGAAUCCUUCCCCCACCACCA
rnacentral:tRNA from 5942 species